ACUUUAUUAAAUCCUUUAUUAAAAAUUAUGCCAGCUUUAGUGUACUAAUAAUCUUAAUUUUAUGUAAGGACAGGAGGCGAUCAUCUACUCAUACAGUAAGCUUUAGCUAAAUUCAUGGUAGUUUGUCAUCCUAGAUAGGGAUUUACAAUUAUCAGGUUUUUAAUGCAGUUGUCAGAAACAAUUGCUGUUAUGUAUUUGUAAGAAUUAUUGAGCCUUGGUAAGUUUUGUUGCCUUACACAUGUCACAAUUUUCUUUUAAUUUUGUGAUUACACUAAG